UGGGGAAUAUUGGACAAUGGGGGGAACCCUGAUCCAGCCAUGCCGCGUGUGUGAAGAAGGCCUUAUGGUUGUAAAGCACUUUAAGCGAGGAGGAGGGUACUGGUAUUAAUACUACCAGCUACUGGACGUUACUCGCAGAAUAAGUACCGGCUAACUCUGCGCCAGCAGCCGCGGUAAUACAGAGGGUGCGAGCGUUAAUCGGAUUUACUGGGUGGAAAGCGUGCGUAGGCGGCUAAUUGAGUCGGAUGUGAAAUCCCCGAGCUUAACUAGGGAAUUGCAUUCGAUACUGGUUAGCUGGAGUGUGGGAGAGGAUGGUAGAAGUCCAGGUGUAGCAGUGAAAUGCGUAGAGAUCUGGAGGAAUACCGAUGGCGAAGGCAGCCAUCUGGCCUAACACUGACGCUGAGGUACGAAAGCAUGGGGAGCAAACAGG
rnacentral:rRNA from 1 species